AUUGCAGACUCAAAGGACCAGACUGACAAUGCAAUUCCAUGCGAUACCAACAAUGAUAUUGCUGACUAUGCAACAGUUGAGGAAAAACCUGAAGAAACAGUAGUUGAAGAAAAACAUGAAGAACCUGCAAUUGAAAAGAAAUUUGAAGAAUCAACAGUUAUGGAGAAACCUGAAGAACCAGCAGUGGAAGAAAAACCUGAAGAACCAACAGUUAAAGAGGAACCUGAAAAAUCAGUGAUGGAAGAGAAACCUGAAGAACCAAUUGUUGAGGAGAAACUUGAAGAACCAACUGUUGAAGAGAAACCUGAAAAAUCACUGAUUGAAGAAACACCUGAAGAACCAAUAUGGGAAGAAACACCUAAAGAACUAGCAUUUGAAGAGAAACCAGAAGAACCAGCAGUUGAAGAGGAGAAACCUGAAAAGGUAACUCUUUUGGAAGAGGUGAGUAUCAAGCAUUAGCACAUAGUUUAUCCAUCAUGUUAUUUCUGUAUGUGCAUCGAUUCACAUCUGCUUAUCUAUUGAAAGUCUAAAUGAGACUUUAAAUUCUUCUUGCAGAAUAUACCAGCUGUAGAUUUCAACGACAAGACUGACCGUGAAAUUCCAUGCGAUACCAACAAUGAUAUUGCUGACUAUGCAACAGUUGAGGAAAAACCUGAAGAACCGGUAGUUGAAGAAAAACAUGAAGAACCUGCAAUUGAAAAGAAAUUUGAAGAAUCAACGGUUAUGGAGAAACCUGAAAAACCAGUGGUUAAGGUACAACCUGAAGAACCAGCAGUGGAAGAAAAAGUUGAAGAACCAACAGUUAAUGAGGAACCUGAAAAAUCAGCGAUGGAAGAGAACCCUGAAGAAUCAAUUGUUGAGGAGAAACUUGAAGAACCAACUGUUGAAGAGAAACCUGAAAAAUCACUGAUUGAAGAAACACCUGAAGAACCAAUAUGGAAAGAAACACCUAAAGAACUAGCAUUUGAAGAGCAACCAGAAGAACCAGCAGUUGAAGAGGAGAAACCUGAAAAGGUAUCUCUUUUGGAAGAG
rnacentral:lncRNA from 1 species